GUCACAAACAAAAGCGCCAUUCUUAGCGAUAAUAGCAACAGUUACAAGCUCUGUUAAAAUCAACGGAAAGAAUGAGAUUAUUAAAACAUAUAGCGUCGGAAAGCUACAAAACUAGCAGUCUGACUCUCCAGAUCUCAGUCUCUGACGACUGUAGUCGGAAAGUGGUGCAGACGUCACAAGCGGGUGGCGACACCAGGGUGGUCCGCACAAAGCCCAGCGGAGACCUCCGCGACGUCCUCAAUAAGAGGCGCGCGCGGACCGGAAGCUCCCUUGGAGAGGCGACUCUUAGCUCCACGACUGGCUGUUGCGUUGAUAAGACUGGAGAUCUGCGCCAGGGUCUAAACGCGAUGCGCACGCAGCCAAAGUCUCAGUCAAACAUCAUCAGGUUUUUGCAACUAGCCUCAUAUUACCAGCUGAGCCUGCAGCUGGGCGGUGUGGGGUUAGAAAAUGGCUCCUCCAUUCUGUCCUAUCUGCCAUCUCUGGUGCCUGCUUCCGAUCUGUCUCGUGACGUCAUGGCACCAACUGCUCCCACGCGUUUCUCAGAAGAAGCGUUGAAGGAGGAACCUGUUCUCGCUCCGAGGAGGAUUUGGCGGAAGCGCUGCAGCAGCGUUUUCUCUGACGACGGAGCACCUGAAGUAGUUGUAAACACCGCAGACGAACCUCCUGCCAAGCGGGCCCGCCUCCAGGAGUGUUCUCGUUUUUUUCAGGUGGAAUCUUCCAUACGUUAGACCUGGAUUAUCUCUGGCUCCACUUUCUUUAGAUGGUGCAAGAGAUUACAGACCGUGAAUUUUCUUGAAACGUAACAAUUACCGUGCAAUGGAUAAUGAGGUCACUUUUUAGCUCGUGUCCGCGGCAUUCAGAUUGACCCCUUUCACUGGAGGUCUAACCCCUACGUUUGGCAGAGAGAGAGGACUACAGGUGUGAACAGAGGAGGUCAACCACUUUGGGCCGGGACCCCUACAUGUGGCGAUAGAAAGAGGAUCAGACCCCUGUCAGGCCCGCCACGUGUUACACGUGGAGGAGGCCGGACCCUUAGAGGGCGGCGAAUGCGCACUGCAUCUGUCGGCAUCAUUCGGUAUUCACGACUCUCAUUCCGACUUCGAUAUAUUAUAAUAUUUGAGAAAAUAAACCAAAAUGAUAUUAUAAUAAGUAAAUAAUCAGUUAUAAAAAAAAUGAAAAGGUACGAUUAGUCUUUGAGCAGAGACUUUUUGACGAUGCUGGAACAGCAUCGUCUAAGGUAUGAUAAGCAUAAACAAAUUCUUCACAAUGGCGACCUAUGUAAAAGACCGAGCCAGUCCGAUUGAGAUAACUCGAUUUUUCUAAUCGAAAUACCUCGACCUCGUUCAUUUUCAUAGAUAACAUUCUCCUAGCAGAGUUGUCGUUCGUGUUUCAACAUUCAACAAUGGCCGCCCCCAUGAGAGUCUCGAGUCAAAACUUUCUUACUGCUUAAAUUGGCUUGUUUCGCUAUUUAGAAGCUGUCAUUUAUUAUAUAUGAAUUAUUUAUUCACUAAAUUUCCGCUAAUGGCAACAAUGGACGGAAUUCGAAGGAUACGAUGUGAAUGGAUCACUUUCUACAACAAUGGCUUCGCCCAUGAGAGACUUGAUAACACUCGUGUCAAAACUUUCUUACAGCUUAAAUCGGCUUGUUUCGCUAUUUAGUAAUGCAACAAUAAAUGGAAUUCAAAGGAUAUAUUCAAUGUGAAUGAAGCACUUUCUUGAUCUCGACAGCUUGACAAGGCAAAACUGGCAUACUGAUGAUAUUGGUAUUUUAAGUUAUCAAUUUAAGUCAAAUUGGUGCUUUAUAAAUUUUGUUCGAGCAUUUUGCGACUUAUUGCAUUGCUAUGAUACCCGAUAUCAACAUGUCAUAUGGGAUUUGCAUAUCACCAAGCUGUCCUGAAAUACAACAUUGAUUACAAACUCUUUACUCAAAUUACUGGUUUGUAUGAAUGCUUUCUUCUUUCUAUUUAAGUACACAUAGUUGAUAUCAUUAUAGUCCAAAUAAUUAGACGUAAUAUACCGUUUAGUCCAUGUAUAUCGACCUCAUAUUUAUAGGAGUAGAUAUUAUGUUAAAGGGGCCUUUUCACAGAUUUUGACAUGUUUUGAAGUUAGUCAUUAAAUGCUUUAUAUUGAUAAAUGUAAACAUUGGAUCUUAAAAGCUCCAGUUGAAAAUCCAGAAUAAAAUUCUUUUAACAAGUAGUCCGCAGCAGGGCUCGAACCAGUGACCCCCUUAGUCCUGGAGUAAAAACACAUUAGCCUGCUCGACUAUUUUGCCAAGUAUAAAUGGUUGACGUAUUUUAUACCUUAUAUAAGCAAUCUUCGUAGUUUCACACAAUUAAACAACAACAACAUAACUCUCCAAAUUAUUCAAUCGUUUCACGUUGCAACGCUUUAUAAUUUUUAAAUCGUUAAAAGAUGCAUAUAAUGGCUAUAUUGGACCAUGGUAAAUGUUCAGUAAUACUGUUUCCUAAAAAUAACAUAACUAAAACGAAAAUUUGCGAAUCCUAUACAACUUUUUUAAUUUUUUGUCAAUUUACCAAAACGUGAAAAGAUCCCUUUAAAGUUAAAUUAACUGUAUCCCAGUCAAAGAGACAUUAAGGCGAUUGUGGCCAUUUUAGAUCUAGUUCAGCCUGCAGCUGCUUGAAAGCUGUUUGCUUAAGAGCGGUACAAUGACACAUAGUUUAAUUGGAUACUGAUUAGAUUGCCCUUUUCCUGUGACCUGGCUAAUUAAAUUCAGAAGCCUGCUGGUAACAGUUUAACGUUAAUGUUACCAAUGUGUCAGACCAGGGCCUGGAUUUUGAAAUCUAGGACAUGCAUGGUCAGAAGAUGUCAUUUAAGAUAAUACAUUUUUUCAAACACAUACAAAUGCAUACAAAUAUAAAUAGUAAACUGCACUAAGUCAGAAGGCAUUUGACUUCGGCUUGUGCCUUGGCACACCAGGUGUUUCGGUUGAUUUUUUCAAACAUAAAUAAUUGAUGUAAAAUGCUUGAAGGAAUAAUAUUUAAGGUUUAAAAAGGAAUUUUCUUUUUGUUUUAAAGGAUAUCUUUGAAAAUUAUAUUUUUAUGAAUUUUUUGGCAACAAGGGGUAACGCAUUUUUAAAAAAGGUAAUAAAUUUUCUGACAAAAAACUGGUACCAUGAGUAGCAUGAAACAAUAAUUUUUUUAAACAUUUGUAAUUGAUAAAAAAUGAUUGCAAAAAUAAUAUCUAGGGUCUAAUAAAGCAUUUUUUAUUUUAUUUUAAUACGUUUCUCUGAAAAUUCUAUUUUUCAUGAUUUUUUUUUGCAACCAGGGGUUAUGAAAAAAAAAAAUGUUACUUGAUUUUUAGACCAAAACUGGUACUAUGAUAAUACUAUGAUGCACUUCGCCAAAACAUUUAUAAUUAUAUUGUUUAUUCUUGAAAAUGUAUUUCCCCUAUUCACUAAAAAUAACACUUUUGAUCAGAAAAUUCAUAUAUAAUGAUGUUUACUUUUAUUUUCAAGAAGCAUAAUGCCUCUUUUUAGUUGUAUUUAGCCACACGUUCUUGUCAGCCACUUCAGGGUUAUAUGUUGCCUUUCUUAUACUAAAUGCAAAAUAAUUCUAUACUUUGAGACAUUCAUAAAUUAUUUUAUGUCUUUACGACACCGACAGGCUAAUAAAUGUAUAUAUCAAGUACUUCCAUACUAACAGGACCAUUCUGGGCGGGCAACCUAGCAACCUUGAUUUGUUCCUAUCUUCCUAUCAAUCUGUUAUAUGUGUUAUGAAUCAUUUGUUCUGAGAACCUUUAAUGUUUUUUAUAACUUUUAAAUAAUUCAAUGUUCAAAGUGAUAUUGUUAUUGACCGAUAAACCAACAUACUGAUUAAAAGGGAAUAUUUUAUUAAUUAUUUGCAUUUUAUCUUACAUGAGAAAUAUUUGCCUAAAUGAUUUCAAACUAAUGAAACUAUAGAAAAAUCUAUAUACAGUUAAAAAUUGACGACGUUUAUAAAAAAAAACCUUCAUGAAAUGGAAGUUUAAAGAUAAAAUUAAAUAAUGCAAGUUUUAUCAGAUAUUCGUAAUAAUUUCCAAUAUAAUUGAGUGUCUGAGCAAUGUGGAUGAAUGAAUAUAUCAGAUAAAACGAACACUUGUCUACACUUGAAUUAUGAUUUAUUUUUCAAUAUUUUAUGCACUUAAGUUUAGCCUUAAUGCGUUUUUAUAAGCAUUUAAAGACAGUGUCCCUCCCCAAAAUCAAGGAAUUAUUACUUGUCGUUCAUUUGUGUAAUGGUAUACAAUAAUUGUGUGGUAGAAUAUUUGAGAAAAACAUUAGAAUCAAAACUUGUCAGUGAUGAAAUUUUCCAUAUGGUUAUGGAAUUACCGAUCGUCGGUUUCCAAAAAACAAUACGUCACGGUUUCCAAAAAUAUGAUGGUUUUGCCCAAGGAUUUUGGGGUAAUGAACAUUAUUGGUUUAUAUUUUAAUAAUUUCGAUUCUCAUUUGAUUAAUAGGUAAUUUCAAGACUGAAAUUGAAAUAUGCAAGCUAUUCUUUCGUUUUGCAUAUGUCUGUCGAUACAUCUGUACAAUCGGUAAUUUCCGAAACCAUUCGUUAAAUUGUAGCAGACACAAGUUUAAAUUAAAAAAAUUAUGUUUUACACUAAUAUUCUACCUCUUUCUUGCUAAAAACUAAUGCAUGAAUGAUUUAAAAGUAAUAUUGCAUCGUUUUCAGCCAGGAACACUGUCAAUGACCACGAAAAAAAACAUAACAAACUUUUUGAUUUACGAUAUUUACUUUAUAAAUAGCUUGCAUGCGGCAUGGCAUUGCAUGUUCCGCAAGAUAAAUAUCUCGACUUUAUUUAUUGGAUGAUUUCGGACUGUUUCAUCCAAUCAGAAAAUAGCUUUGAAACGUUAUUUAGACCCAUGUUUAGCGAGAUAAUUAAGUACCACAUUUUAUACACUGCCAAAUUGUGACAUAACAAGUUGCCUCCCUUGUUGGUUCAUGCUACUGUAUUAUUAUGCCCCCCCCCUUUCGAAGAAGAGAGGGUAUACUGUUUUGCACAUGUCGGUCCGUAUGUCCGUCCACCAGAUGGUUUCCGGAUGAUAACUCAAGAAUGCUUAUGCCUAGGUUCAUGAAACUUCAUAGGUACAUUGAUCAUGACUCGCAGAUGACCCAUAUUGAUUUUGAGGUCACUAGGUCAAAGAGCAAGGUCACGGUGACCCGAAAUAGUAAAAUGGUUUCCUGAUGAUAACUCAAGAACGCUUAUGCCUAGGAUCAUGAAACUUCAUGUGUAGAUUGAUCAUGACUCACAGAUGACCACUGUUGAUUUUGAGGUCACUAGGUCAAAGGUCAAGGUUAUGGUGACCCGAAAUAGUAAAACGGUUUCCGGAUGAUAACUCAAGAACGCUUAUGCCUAGGAUCAUGAAACUUCAUAGGUACAUUGAUCAUGACUCGCAGAUGACCCAUAUUGAUUUUGAGGUCACUAGGUCAAAGAGCAAGGUCACGGUGACCCGAAAUAGUAAAAUGGUUUCCUUAUGAUAACUCAAGAACGCUUAUGCCUAGGAUCAUAAACUUCAUGUGUAGAUUGAUCAUGACUCACAGAUGAACACUAUUGAUUUUGAGGUCACUAGGUCAAAGGUCAAGGUUAUGGUGACCCGAAAUAGUAAAAUGGUUUCCUGAUGAUAACUCAAGAACGCUUAUGCCUAGGAUCAUAAACUUCAUGUGUAGAUUGAUCAUGACUCACAGAUGAACACUAUUGAUUUUGAGGUCACUAGGUCAAAGGUCAAGGUUAUGGUGACCCGAAAUAGUAAAAAGGUUUCCGGAUGAUAACUCAAGAACGCUUAUGCCUAGGUUCAUAAAACUUCAUAGUUUCAUUGAUCAUGACUUGCAGAUGAACCCUAUUGAUUUUGAGGUCACUAGGUCAAAGGUCAAGGCAACGGUGACCCGAAAUAGAAAAAAGGUUUCCGGAUGAUAACUCAAGAACGCUUAUGCCUAGGAUCAUGAAACUUCAUAGGUUCAUUGAACAUGACUCGCAGAUGAACCCUAUUGAUUUUCAGGUCACUAGGUCAGAGGUCAAGGUCACGGUGACCCGAAAUAGUAAAAUGGUUUCCUGAUGAUAACUCAAGAACGCUUAUGCCUAGGAUCAUGAAACUUCAUGUGUAGAUUGAUCAUGACUCACAGAUGACCCCUUUUGAGGUCACUAGGUCAAAGAUCAAGGUCACGGUGACCCGAAAUAAAUAAAUGGUUUCCGGAUGAUAACUCAAGAACGCUUAUGCCUAGGAUCAUGAAACUUCAUAGAUACAUUGAUCAUGACUCGCAGAUGAUCCCUAUUGAAUUUCAGGUCACUAGGUCAAAGGUCAAGGUCACGGUGACCUGAAAUAGUAAAAUAGUUUCCGGAUGAUAACUCAACAACGUUUAUGCCUAGGAUCAUGAAACUUCAUAGGUACAUUGAUCAUGACUCGCAGAUGAUCCCUAUUGAAUUUCAGGUCACUAGGUCAAAGGUCAAGGUCACGGUGACAUGCAAUAGUAAAAUGGUUUCCGGCUGAUAACUCAAGAACGCUUACGCCUAUGAUCAUGAAACUUCAUAGCUACAUUGAUCAUGACUCGCAGAUGACCCCUAUUGAUUUUCAGAUCACUUAGUCAAAGGUCAAGGUCUCAGUGCCAAAAAAAGUAUUCACACAAUGGCUGCCACUACAAAUGACAGCCCAAUUGGGGGCAUGCAUGUUUUACAAACAGCCCUUGUUUCAAAAAUAUUUUCAUGUAGUAUACUUAUAUUGAUAUUUACAAAAUUGAUGCAUAUGAAUGAUAGACUUUACUGAAAUCAUUUUAAUGAUACUGAAAUCAUGACAGUGAAUUAAUACUGAUUAUUAUUUAAUAUAUUUUGCUUGAUACAAUCAUGUACAUCUAUAUCAAAUGAGAUCAUACUGUAACUUCAGUGAUGAAUUUCAGUUAACUAAAUUAAAUCCAAAAUAUAAGUAACUCCUAUAUUUCUCCCGCAGCGCGCACACCUAAACAUCCUGCUGUGUACCUAUCCAGAUCCAGAUAAAAAGAUAUGAUACAUAAUUAUCCCCACGUUUUUCAAUGAAAAAGUGGGGAUAUUGUAUUGAUGUGGGUCUGUCCGUCCGUCCGUCCUGGCCACCUGCUCCUCCUACACUAUUAGCACUAGAACUUUGAAACUUACAUACAUGGUAGCUUUGAGCAUAUGUGCGACGGUGACAGUUACGGAAUUUUGAUCUGACCCCUGGCUCAAAAGUUAUGGGGGUUGGGGCGGGGCCGGGUCAGAGAUUUUCACUCAUUUUUUUAAUGUUAUUUUCAUUAACUUCUUCAUUUCUUCACCGAUUUACUUCAAAUUGAUACUGAGCCUCUCUUAUGACACUAAGGUCAAUCUCAACUAUGCAUGGCCCCAUAACCAACCCUGGGGCGCCCCGGCCACAUAGGCCACGCCCACCCAAAAUUACCUUUUACUAUAAUUUCUUAAUUUCUGCACCGAUUCACUUCAAAUUGAUACUGAACCUCUCUUAUGACAAUACGGUCAAUCUCAGCUAUGCAAGGCCCCAUUACCAACCCUUGGGCGCCCCGCCGCCCACAUAGGCCACGCCCACCCAAAAUUGCCUUUUACUAUAAUUUCUUCAUUUCUACACUGAUUCACUUCAAAUUGAUACUGGACCUCUCUUAUGACAAUACAGUUAAUCUCAACUAUGCAUGGCCCAUGACCAACCCUGGGGCGCCCCGCCCACAUAGGCCACGCCCAACCAAAAUUGCCUUUUACUAUAAUUUCUUUAUUUCUACACCGAUUCACUUCAAAUUGAUACUGAACCUCUUUUAUAACAAUACGGUCAGUCUCAACUGUGCAUGGCGCCAUUACCAACCCUGGGGUGCCCCGCCCACAUAGGCCACGCCCACCAAAAAUUGCCUUUUACUAUACUUUCUUCAUUUUUACACCGAUUUACUUCAAAUUGAUACUGAACAUCUCUUAUGACAAUACAGUCAAUCUCAACUAUGUAAGGCCCCAUAACCAACCCUGGGGCGCCCCGCCCAUAAUAGGCUACACCCACCCAAAAUUGUCUUUUACUAUAAUUUCUUCAUUUCUACACCGAUUCACUUCAAAUUGAUACUGAACCUCUUUUAUGACAAUACAGUCAAUCUCAACUAUGCAUGGCGCCAUUACCAACCCUGGGGCGCCCCGCCCUCAUAGGCCAUGCCAAUCCAAAAUUGCCUUUUACUAUAAUUUCUUUAUUUCUACACCGAUUCACUUCAAAUUGAUACUGAACCUCUUUUAUAACAAUACGGUCAGUCUCAACUGUGCAUGGCGCCAUUACCAACCCUGGGGUGCCCCGCCCACAUAGGCCACGCCCACCAAAAAUUGCCUUUUACUAUACUUUCUUCAUUUUUACACCGAUUUACUUCAAAUUGAUACUGAACAUCUCUUAUGACAAUACAGUCAAUCUCAACUAUGUAAGGCCCCAUAACCAACCCUGGGGCGCCCCGCCCAUAAUAGGCUACACCCACCCAAAAUUGUCUUUUACUAUAAUUUCUUCAUUUCUACACCGAUUCACUUCAAAUUGAUACUGAACCUCUUUUAUGACAAUACAGUCAAUCUCAACUAUGCAUGGCGCCAUUACCAACCCUGGGGCGCCCCGCCCUCAUAGGCCAUGCCAAUCCAAAAUUGCCUUUUACUAUAAUUUCUUCAUUUCUACACCGAUUUACUUCAAAUUGAUACUGAACAUCUCUUAUGACAAUAAGGUCAAUCUCAACUAUGUAUGGUCCCUUUACCAACCCUGGGGCGCCCCGCCCAUAAUAGGCCACACCCACCCAAAAUUGUCUUUUACUUUAAUUUCUUCAUUUCUACACCGAUUCACUUCUAAUUGAUACUGAACUUCUCUUAUGACAAUACGGUCAAUCUCAACUAUGCAUGGCGCCAUUUCCAACCAUGGGGCGAUCCUUGGUCAAACAUGCGGCGUGGGGAUAUGCGUCGGCCUCUGCCGCGCCAUUUCUAGUUAUGUAUUAUAUUGUUCAGAGGAGAUGAUUUUACCUCUGUUGUAUCAAUGUUUUGUUUUACUUCUUUAAUCAGUGUUUUUAAAGAUAUAUAAACAUAGCUCCAGGGUCUUUGCUUCAGGCAUUGAAUAUUUCAUAUCCUGAUCUCUUUUUCUAAUGGAUAUUUUAACUAGUUCCUACAUUCAAUACAGUCAAAUAUAUGUUAAGUAGUAUCUGUACACAUUGGUAGAUUAAAUUUGUACAUCAAAUAUUAUUUUUUAAUUGUUUUAAAAAGAUAUAGUUAAAAUAUUCAUACUAGAUUAAUUUAGAACCUUAGUCAUGUCACGGAGAUCUAGAGUCCGUGGUCAUGUGGUAAUUAAACAUUUUUAAAUAUAACCACUUUUAUAUGGAGUCCUGACCAGAUCUCAAAUGCAUAAUCCUUUUCUCUGUCAACCUGGUCAUCCCCUAUCAAAUGGCAAAUUAUAUGCUGAAUCGUUCUUUAUACACAAUGGUUGAAUGAAAAAAUUGACAUCAUUUUCACAUGGAAAUUUCACUUUGACAGUCAUGGAAAAAGAGCCUGCACAACACAGAUCAAAAAUACUUUUUAUUUGUGGAUAAUCCCAUAUCUUGAAACUCUAUGUGCAUAAAUAUCUCAAGUCUUCAUGAAAUCAGGACAACAAAAAUGUUUUUUUAAGUUCUAAAUUGAUCUGGCUAUAGUAAUCAGAUUAUUAUAAGCUCAAUUAGUCUAGUUAUGUCAUAUGCUUUGUGUAUUGUAAACAUACACACAAUAUUGCAGGUACAUGAUAGCAAUAAAUAAUAACAAAGCCAUCCAUACUAUAAAGGUCAAUGGCAAAGCCUGUGAGAAAAAUUUGAACGCAUUGAAUGUAAUCACACAACCUGCUCAUGGUGAGCUUUUGUGAUCGCUUUAUGGCCGUCGUGAGCCGUCAACAUUUGCCUUGUUAACUCUGUGGAUGCCAUGUUUAUAUUCCAAUCUUCAUAAAAUUUGGCCAGAAUAUAAGUCUCAAUGAUAUCUUUGAUCAGUUCGAAAAUGGUUACAAUUGGUUGAAAAACAUGGCUGCCAGGCCCUUGGGGUGGGGCAUUUUUCCUUAUAUUGCUAUAGUAAAACAUUGUUAACACUCAAGAGGUCACGUUUAUUUUCCGAUCUUCAUGAAUUUUGGUCACAAUAUUUGUCCCAAUACUAUCUUGUUAUCUCAGGUGAACGACUUUGGGCCUUUCAGGCCCUCUUGUUUGUUCAUCUUACCAUUUAAAUAAAAGAUAUCAUUGCACAGAUGUCUUUUACUUUUAGAAUGUGUUGUGCUGUAUUAAUUGUGUGGCUUGUUCGGGGGUAUAUUGUUUAGCACAUGUCGGUCAGUCCGUCAGUCGGUCCGUCCACCAGAUGGUUUUCGUAUGAUAUUAGGCCUAGGAUCAUGAAACUUCAUAGGUACAUUGAUCAAGACUGCCAGAUGAACCCUAUUGAUUUUCAGGUCACUAGAUAAAAGGGUAAGGUCACAGUGACUAGAAUGCUUAGGCCUAGGAUCAUGAAACUACAUAGGUACAUUGAUCAUGACUGGCAUAUGACCCCUAUUGAUGUUCAGGUCAUUAGGUCAAAGGUCAAGGUCACAGUGAGUCAAAACAGUUUAAUGAUUUCCGGAUGAUAACUCAAGAAUGCUUACGUCUAGGAUCAUGAAACUUCAUAGGUACAUUGAUCAUGACUUGCAGAUUACUCCUAUUGAUGUUAAGGUCACUAGGUCAAAGGUCAAGGUCAAAGUGACUCAAAACAGUAAACUAGUAUCCGGAUGAUAACUCAAAAAUGCUUACGCAUAGGACAAUUAAACUUCAUAGGUACAUUGAUCAUGACUGGUAUAUAACCCUUAUUGAUUUUCAGGUCACUUGGUCAAAGGUCAAUGUCACAGUGACUCAUAACAGUAAAAAGGUUUCCUGAUGAUAACUCAAGAAUAGUAAGGCCUAGGAUCAUGAAACUUCAUAGGUUAAUUGAUCAUGACUGGCAGGUGAUCCCUAUUGAUUUUCAGGUCACUAGGUGAAAGGUCAAGGUCACAGUGACAAAAAAUGUAUUCACACAAUGGCUACCACUACAACUGACAGCCCAUAUGGAGGGCAUGCAUGUUUUACAAACAGCCCUUGUUUGUCUUAUGUUGGUAAAUGUUCAUCUCGGUCAAUUCUAGGUUAAGUUUGAAAGUAGGUCAUAUGUGGUCCAAACUAGGUCAACAAACCAAAUCACAGAAAAGGUUAGUGAACACUCCAGAGGUCACAUUUUCUUCCAGAUCUUCAUGAAAUUGGACAGAAUAUUAUCUCGAUGAAAUAAAGUUUCAUUUUGAAAGUUGGUAGUUUGUCAAAAACUAGGUCAUUAGGUCAAAAUAUAGAAAAAUUCCUUUACCUUUCUACAGGUCACAUUAUCUUCCUGAUUUUCAUAAAAAUAGCUUACAAUAUCCAUCUUAAUCAAAUCAAAAGCGGAAUUUGCAAGUUGGUCAUGUGCAGGCUUAAGCUAGGUUACAACUUACUCAAAUCAUACACAAGUUUUUGACACAAUAAAAGGAGUUUUGGGUGAGUGAUACAGGGCUAUCUUGUUUUAGAACAGCCUGUAGUAAGACAGGGAAGGUAUUGUAUUUGUUGCAAAAGUAACAUUUUAUUGUUAUUGGAAGUACCUGAGCAAUUAUAUGAUGUCAUAGUUUUGGUUAUUUUGCUCACUUGUUAUGAUGUGACAAUGUGAGCUUUUGUUAUCAUUUUGUUAUUAUUGUUGUAUUUUAUCCACAGUUUAUUGUGGACACAUAAGAUAUCAUUUUACAAUGUUUAAAUUUGGGUGUCACCUCUUUGCCAGAUUCUUAUGAAACUAGUCACCUCUAUGUCAUUUUGGGUUUCAUAUUCUAUCAAAAAUUAGGGCACUAUGUCAAAUAUAAGAAAAGGUCUGUUAAUACUUUAGUGGUCACAUUCUCUCUCACUGAUCCACUUGUAAAUUGGUUAGAACAUUAUUUUAAAUGAUUUCAAAGUCAAGCUUGAAAGUAGCAUACAAGUAUUCAACAUUUAGGUCACAAGGUCUAGUCUCAGUGAUUAACAGGUCACGUUCCAAAGUGGGUCAUGUGCUUCCAAGCAUUUGAUCAAUAACUAAAAUCAUUAAAAUCUAUGUUAACAUUUACAUUGUUUACCUAAUCGUCAUGGCAGUUGAUCAGAAUGUUCAAAUAAAUAAAAGUAGAACCUCGGUAACAAGGCCCAACUAGAUCGGAUAGACGCAAAUAGUUUAUUCAUACUCACAAUGCCUUUUUUCUAGAUCUUCAUGAAAAAUUAGUUAACACCACUAGGAAACAAUCAAUUUCAGGUGAGCCACAUUGUGCUGUUAAAGCUAUCUAUGUAUAGUAUAGAUUGUUACAAAACCUUGUUUAUCAAUAAAAAUAAAUGAAAAAAAUGGCUUUCUAAAAGUUAUAGUCUUUGAUGAUAUAUUCCUCAACUUAUAAUCUACGACAAUCUUUUGAGAGAAAAACAAAAUUUGACUAUUAUUAUACCCCAACAUACUGUGAUUGGGGGCUAGCACAGGAAUUCUCAAUUAUGUUCCUCGAAAAAUAAUGGGUUAGCAUAUUGUUGCUGUUUUAUCCAGUUGCCUGGCCCUUUACUCCCAAAAGAAUUGUAAGUUCAAAUAUGAGAUAUUUAGGUAAAUAAAUAUCAUGGAAGAGAUUGCAGUGUCCAAGAACGAAAACGAUUGCACAACAACCAUUAACUAUUGACCUGCGGAUAAAUGACAAGCAAUAAAAAUUACACAAUUGCGGUGAUGUAGAUUAACUUAAAUGGAUGCUUAUUUAUUUUAUGCUUUCCGGUGAUUUAUACAGAAAUAUCAGUGAAAUAAACUGGUAUUUCACUGUUUUAAACAGUGAAAAAUAACGGUGAAAAUACCGAUAUUUUUCGCUGUUUUUCUGGGAAAAUCGAUAUUCCACCGAAUCAACAAAUAUCCUCUAUAUAUCCAUCCUCUUCAAAAGCAUCGUCAAACCAGUACUUUCAGUACUUUGAUUUCAAAAUUUAUUAAUGUAAGAUUGUUUUAUUGAAGUUCGUGAAUACCGGUACGUCCGACUUACCUGUGCCUUUCAGUCAAUAUCUUUAGAAAUCAGUAGACAAUUUGAAUAUUAUCUUUAUCUUAUAAUUGCGUAGUUAAUUCGAAAUCCUUUAUUAGACAGUUGAUUAUAUUCAAAUAAAUUUGGUCGUCGUUCUGUCCAUAAUCUUGUCCACGCAAUGCCUUCUAUAUGCAUACAGAGUAUAAUUGCCACGCACACGAAUCACAUCUUAACCAUAUAAACAAAUGUCAAAUACUUAUCUUGAUUGUGCAUGAAGAAGUUAUCCAUUUCUUAUUAUCCACGUGCAUUUAAGGUUUUCAUGGUUACUGUUUUAUAAGAAGUUAGUUAAGAGGAUACGUUAACUAGUUAUUAGUUUGCUGGUAACUUUGAUUAAGCUUUGAAUAAGUCAGAUAAUUAACUUGUAUGUGUUGUUAUGCU